AGCUUUGUGCAGUGCCAGUAUUGUAACCAAUGAGGUUUAUCUGAGACACGAUUAUUGCUAAUUGAAAACUUAAUUUGCAGAAUCUCUAAGAUGCCGAUAGGUUAACGCUGUGCUUACAAGCUAAGAAGUGAGGAAAUGAAAGCUGGAACUCAAG
rnacentral:snRNA from 12 species